rnacentral:misc_RNA from 1 species
UUGAUUCAUUUUCUUGUGAGACUCAGAAUAUGCCACUAUAAUACAAGAGUUUGGGUCCUCCGGCGGGCGCCUGGUUCCGGGACGCCGAGGCGCCGGGGCGGUCCCGCCGAAGCAACGUUGGGUAUGUUCACAGGGGUUUGGGAGUUGAUAACUCGGUAAUGAUCCCUCCGCUGGUUCACCAACGGAGA